rnacentral:rRNA from 1 species
GACGUAGGGUGCGAGCGUUGUCCGGAUUUAUUGGGCGUAAAGAGCUCGUAGGCGGCUCGUCGCGUCGACCGUGAAAACCCGCGGCUUAACUGCGGGCUUGCGGUUGAUACGGGCGGGCUAGAGUUCGGUAGGGGAGACUGGAAUUCCUGGUGUAGCGGUGAAAUGCGCAGAUAUCAGGAGGAACACCGGUGGCGAAGGCGGGUCGCUGGGCCAUUCCUGACGCUGAGACGCGAAAGCUAGGGGAGCGAACAGG